rnacentral:lncRNA from 1 species
UGCAUGCCCUCAUUGCAAGAAUAUCCAAUCCCGACAGCGUAGAUGGGUUUCUGACAGUGAAGACAGCGACACCAAUCUUCGAACACCACCAUUUUAUGGAGGCCAACAAAAUACAUCAAAUAAAGGACGCUUCGAUGGCGAUGGCGCCGGUAGUAUGUUUCGAGCAAACAGUGUUAACUUUAAUAAGUGGAUAUUGACGCCAUCAUCAAAUUUUUGAAAAAAAAAAAAGUGAGUCAAAGUCUUACGUUAUGUAUUAGGGACCACCGACCGGUCAUGGUCAAUGCCGGACGGAAGACCCUCGCUAUCCGACGUUAUCUGGUAUAGGCGAAGCCGGCGGUAGAAAAAGGAUCCCCCGAACGGGCCCGACAGCUAGCGCCCUAGCUUUCGUGUCAUUCCGCUUUCCGCCGAUACUGACAGCUAAAGAUUACCGGCCGGUUACACCAUGACCGGACGGUCAGAUACAAAAAUCCACCCGUAGAAUAAGAUUUAAGGGGAGGCGUACGGUCGGCACAAUGACCGGACGGUCACGAUCAACAGGGUUAAGGUAAGUGUGGAAAGAUUAGCAUAAUCCAGUGUUUUAGAUGGCUGGGCCACAAUUGGGCCUUAAUUAAAGUAAUCUUAAUACCAGGCCCAUGUCUACCACUAUAAAUAUGAGUCAAAGGUCACAGGUAGGUGGAUUCAUUUGAUUGCGCAUUUAAUUCUGAAUUAAGAUAUCCGAUCGGAUAACCAAACUGACUUAAGCAUCGGAGUGUCUUUAGCAGGUACCCUCCGGGAGUUUGAAGCACAAGAGCACGCGAGAGAAUUCGGACAGGAGGUGAAGCAGAGGAAAUUGUGUAGGUGACUUGGAUCUCGGCCCUAUACCGAAACACGUUAUAUCAUAUUAGGUUCUAUCAUAUGUAUAAUAUCUUCCUUAUGAAAAGUGGUGUGAAAUGUGUAUUAGGUUAUA